UCUUUUUCAGACCAUGUACUGAAGAUAUUCAGUGAGUGGCGAGGGGACAGAGCCGCUGGUAAAGGCGUUUCUCUCAAUGAAAGACGGAACAACCCGCGACUGGCAUUCACAGUUCGUGGAAUUUGUGGGAGGGUGAUGAAAACCCCAAAGUAUAGAGGUUUAACACGUGAGGGAUAUGUUCCGAUAGUUGUACAACUGGUACAAAAAGCUGGGCACCUGGACUAUCAAAGCAUACGCUGCGACGUAUUCAAGAUGCGUAGCAUUAGGACAUGCACUCAGAUUCAUGACACAGAAAAAAAGGAUGAUUACUUCCAGGAUCUUCAAUGUAUCUUCCGGUACAACCUCAAAGAAGGAAACUAUUUUGUUGUGCCAUCGACUGAAAACCCACGGAACGAGAGAGAGUUCCUAGUACGACUUUUCUCUCCAUGCCCUUUGCUUGAAUGCAGGUAAUGUUUCCUUACAAGUAACAAUGUAAAACAA